UUCGCCUUUAUAAUAUUAUGCAGUAAGAGCCAGCGAUGGCCAGACAUUCGUUAUUUUAUAAAAGCUGAAAGUUUCGAUGCGUAUUGUCUCCAACACAGGGAGGAACGAUCAGUGUCUAUGAAAUUUGGAUCAUGGUGGCUUUGGUAGAUGACAGGUAACAAAGUUAUACAAUUUUUUACA